ensembl:antisense Prox2os prospero homeobox 2 opposite strand
UUUCUCAUUAUGAAGUUCCAUUUUUUAUUUAUAUAUAUUUUUGUAUGCAUGGGCAGUUGGGGCACCAGUAUAUAGGUCAAGUAGGACUGUUAGGACUGUUAGCAGACCCAGUGUUCCAGCAGACAGAUGCAAGCCACAGCAGUGCCGACCGAGGUUCUUUAGGAAGUUUGCCGAAGCCAUCAGUGAACGUCUUGGAUGAUGAAGCGCUCCUGAGUGCCAACCUGAUCAGAUGGCAGUGCCAAUCCACGGGUGCCCUGCUAGCAUGGAUUUUUCCUGUUGGAGAUCCCAAGUGACAGCAUGAGUCCAGCGUACACAGCCAUCGGUUCCUUCAUAGUCCUGACUGAUCCUGUGCCCUGGCGUAAGAAUCAACGAGGAAGGAUCUGAAUCUUUCCCUGCCAAGACAGCCCUGAAGAACUCCUUCAGUGUCAGGGCGGCAAUCUCCAAGAAGCAGUCUGGGACCUGCAGCCCCAAAGACACCCCCCAAGAAAAGGAAGAAAUGAGGCACCAUAGAGAGCCCAUUGGCUGGUGUUGCCCUGCUGCCCUGCUGCCCCGCUGCCCUGGGUUCUGCAGCCCAAGACUACCCUGUUCCCUAGUGAAACACCAUCCAGAGAGCAGUCUUGGGUAUUAGAGCCUUCCAGGACUUGUCGGUUCUACCAGCUGGGUAUGUUUUAAUGAGUGUGGGAAAUGAGAGGGUUGAGCUUUCUUUUCCUUAGACCUCUUGUGAGAAAGGCUGUCCUCAACCUUACGACUGCCAUCGGCCAACCAUUCUGAGAAUGCACAUCUUAGAUCUCAUGGGACCCAGUGCAUGUCUUACCUCAAAGUCAUUCCCCUUGUUAUAGUGUGUAUUGAGAACUCGGAAAAGCUCCGAGUCUCGGAGGACAGCCAGUGCUUGGGCGUUCGUGAUACCGUCUGAAAGUGCUUGCCGGGCAUACUUUUCCAUCUGGAUGUAAUAAAAUUCACGGAAGUUGCUGAACCACUUGAUCAUCUGGGAGGUGAUGCAGCGGUUGAACUGUGUGAACAAAUGGUCCAUCAAGUCAGACAUUUGCUGCGAGGUGCUCGGUGUCAGAACUGUCAGUGCCCACUUCAGUGUGAGAUUGAUGUAAAUUGGCUCAAGCACUAACCAUUUUUCCUUC